UACGAAGGGGGCUAGCGUUGCUCGGAAUCACUGGGCGUAAAGGGUGCGUAGGCGGCGGGGCCAGUCUGAUGUGAAAUCCCGGGGCUCAACCCCGGAACUGCAUUGGAUACUGCCUUGCUAGAGUACUGGAGAGGGAACUGGAAUUUACGGUGUAGCAGUGAAAUGCGUAGAGAUCGUAAGGAAGGCCGGUGGCGAAGGCGAGUUCCUGGACAGUUACUGACGCUGAGGCACGAAGGCCAGGGGAGCAAACGGG
rnacentral:rRNA from 1 species